UUUAGAAGCACUGUUGAUCUCACCACAGAUAAAUGUUUUGUUUGCUAUUCUUGAAUAUGUAUACUCAAGGGGAGUUACUGACCAGUUUGAAUGACAAUGAAGCCUUUACAAAGAAAAGAUUUAGCUAGUGGGCAGAGCUGACCUGGACCUGGCCUGUAACAGUUACUUCAAGAAGCAGGAAAAAAACCUAAAUGUUUCUACUGUUUCCCACCCAGGACUGAACAGAAGUAGCUGUGCAACCUCCACUAGAAGUCUUCUGAGCGUGUUACUGAAGAGGAUGAGGCAGGAGGCUUCCAGAGGCAGGAGGCUUCCAGAGGCAACAGCCAAGACUAAGCCAUCAACCACAGGGCCAAACCCAGUAAAAAAGAAAAAUAAGAACACUUCCACUUAAAGAACUGCUGCAAUUAUACUGUUCCUUUUUUUUUUUUUUUUUUUUUGCAUUAACAUGUCUUUCCUUUUAUGAUGGUGAGAGUUAAUAUUAAGGUGUGCGUAUAUGUUUGUUAAAGGAUCUCACUUUGCAAUUAAAAGUUUGCACUUAUAUUAACA
rnacentral:lncRNA from 1 species